AUUUAAGUAGUUUAAUUUAAAAUAUUGAUUUGUGGAAUCGAAGAUGUUUAAAAACCUUAAAUU
rnacentral:tRNA from 1 species